GUGCCCGUAGCUCAACUGGAUAGAGCAGCGGUCUUCUAAACCGCAGGUUGUGGGUUCGAUUCCCGCCGGGCGCGCCA
rnacentral:tRNA from 1 species